GCGUAUUUUUUAUUUUAAGAUAAUAUUAUUUCGAAGUAGCAUUCACAAAGUAGCUAAAAUGGAGGACUUCACUUUGGUCGCUAGGAAACGCUACUUGGGCCAUGUUCCUUUCCAAUUGUCCUUCAUUUCAACCCCUUCCCCGAUUCAGAUCAAAUACCCUACUUGGAAGCUGGUAGACGUGUUGCACAUAACAACGAGGAUGGAAGAAGAGAAACUAAAGUCAGAAUUCCUUGAGGCUUCUUCUUCAUCAUCAUCAUCAUCUCGUUCUCCACUCCACUCGUUCGCUUCCUCGUCAAGGGGAAAUGGGGGAUUAUUAUAUCAUUUUUUUCCUUCCUCAAUUAGAUGGCAAAUCUGACAUGUUUCAUGGUUUGGCUCCUUUACUUGGCACCCUCUUGCUUUUGUUCUUAAGCAAAGAUUAGGAUAAAAGAAAUAUCCAAACUUUGGUUCCUGAUUUGGUUGUUUCAAAUGCUGUAAACACGUACCUUCUUUCCCUGGGAUUA